UUACAGAUUCCUGCUUCACCAGGUCGAUCCAGUCUGAGAGUCACAGUCCGGGCUCCUCUACAAAUCAUGGAGUCAACCAGAAUGAAACUCAUGUGUACGACUCUCUUCAACAUGGUACUGCUGACGUCUAUGAAUCAGUCACACAAGUGAAAAACAGAAAUG